rnacentral:rRNA from 1 species
GGUGAACGCUGGCGGCGUGCUUGACACAUGCAAGUCGAACGGUAUGUGGCAACACAUAGAGUGGCGAACGGGUGAGUAACACGUGGGAACGUACCCUACGCAGGGGGAUAACUGACCGAAAGGCAGCUAAUACCGCAUAAGACCGAAAGGUGAAAGGUGCAAAUGCAUCGGCGAAGGAGCGGCCCGCGGACCAUCAGCUAGUUGGUGGGGGUAANAGCCUACCAAGGCGACGACGGUUAGCCGGCGUGAGAGCGUGGCCGGCCACAAGGACACUGAGAUACGGGUCCUACUCCUACGGGAGGCAGCAGUGCGGAAUUUUAGAUAAUGGAGGCAACUCUGAUCUAGCGACGCCGCGUGCAGGAAGAAGGUCUUCGGAUUGUAAACUGCUGUGUAGGGAAAAAUGUCAUGUAGAGUGGAAAGCUACAU